rnacentral:rRNA from 1 species
UACAGAGGUCCCGAGCGUUGUUCGGAUUCACUGGGCGUAAAGGGUGCGUAGGUGGCGAGGUUAGUCAGGUGUGAAAUCUCGGGGCUCAACCCCGAAACUGCACUUGAUACUGCCUUGCUAGAGUACUGGAGAGGAGAUUGGAAUUUACGGUGUAGCAGUGAAAUGCGUAGAUAUCGUAAGGAAGACCAGUGGCGAAGGCGAAUCUCUGGACAGUUACUGACACUGAGGCACGAAGGCCAGGGGAGCAAACGGG